AUCUCAUCUUCCAGUUCCCAGGUAGCUUCUCUUUCUGAAUGAUGGCUCCACUGCACCUUGACAUAAGGUAUAACACGGUGUCUCAAAACUUGAUCUUUUCUGUCCACUAUCCACACUGGAUGCUCCUUAUAUGAUAGAUCUUCUCUAACUUGUAUAGGCUCAAGCUCCGUGACAUUACUUGGGUCUGGUAUAUAUUUCUUCAACAUCGAGACAUGGAAAACAUCGUGUACACCAGCCAGAGAGGGUGGCAGGGCAAGUCUGUAAGCCACCUUACCAAUUCUUUCUAAGAUCUCGAAUGGACCAACAAAUCUGGGAUUUAAUUUUCCUCGA
rnacentral:lncRNA from 1 species